UACGAAGGGGGCGAGCGUUGUUCGGAAUUACUGGGCGUAAAGGGCGCGCAGGCGGCUCUGAAAGUCAGCUGUGAAAGCCCCGGGCUUAACCUGGGGAUUGCAUUUGAUACUCUGGAGCUUGAGUACGGGAGAGGAGAGUGGAAUUCCCAGUGUAGAGGUGAAAUUCGUAGAUAUUGGGAAGAACACCGGUGGCGAAGGCGGCUCUCUGGACCGUAACUGACGCUGAGGCGCGAAAGCGUGGGGAGCAAACAGG
rnacentral:rRNA from 1 species